ensembl:lncRNA
CUGCCUCUGCGGACACGCAUUGCCCUCUCCCGUCGUCCUCCGCCCCACGUAGUCCGCCGGGACUCAGCUGCCCCGGCUCCCCCGGCUUCAAACCCACAGCGCGUGGAGGAGGGGCUCGGCUCGGCUCGGCUCGGGGACUGCGGCGGCGGGCAGCGUGUCUGCGGGCGUUCCUCCCUCCAGCCCCAGCGCUCAGGAAAGCCAAGCUGUGCAGACGGGGUCCCAGCCGCCAUCUCACUCUGCCGGGAUGCCCACAGGCAGGUGUGGCGCUUCCUCCCUCCAAAGCUGCCCCUGGUCUCCACUGAGACCUGCUGUCUCACCAACUGGCUAAAGGCUGAAUGUGACUCCCCACACCCAUGUGUCACGUAUUUAAGACGGGGCUUCCUAAUCCUGUCACAUCGAGGCUCAGAAGUACAUCACCCUCGGAAGUACGUCACCCUGGCGACGGGAUGACGCCACUACAGCCAAGGAGAGCAGCCUGGAGGCUGGCGGCCCCGCAGAGACCCCAGGGUGAGGGCGUCAGAAUGUCCUCGUGCCUCGGACUCUUGCAGUUAGAUGCUCUGAUCUAAGGUGGGCCCUCCCUCUUGGAGAACAAAAGAAACAGAACCGACACAGUUUGCUCAAGUGACAUAUUUCAAUAUAAUCUCUAAAACUCUAUGAAUUAAACAGAUAAAAUACCUCUGGGCUAUUUUGUUACAAAAUAUUUGCCAUUUGGAUUAGCUGCUGGGUGCAGCCACCCUGCCUUUCCCUAGAGAGGUUUCUCUCCCAUGGGGUGAAGGGUGUAUGCAGGGAAGAGGGAGAGCAGCAAGGAGGUGAGGACAGCAGGACACAGGGACGGACGGACAGAUGGUCAUCAGGAAGUCUACUGGGCACAGAGACAUUCUGCAGGCUGUGGAGGGACAGGGGUGGGGGUCAAGGGCCCGGGGCUGAUAAGUGUGUGCCUUUGGACACAGGCAGGCGGGCUUCCAGGUCAAGCUGCCAGGGCAGGAUCUUGCUCCAGGUCUGGAGGUAUGACUUGCCCAAAAGUGGGUGGGAAAGCCAGUUUUGUCUCCCACUUCUGAUUCUGGAGUUGGGGCCAAAUGGAUAAAAUUGAGAGAGGGGCCCAGGUCCCCCAAAGUAAGGCCUAGAGAGUUGACAGAGCAGGGCCAUGUUGGGGUCACUGGGCAUGUACCCAGCAGUCUGUGUCCCGGAGUUCAGUCAGCACUCCACUGCCCCUCGGCCUUGGACGACCAGGAGGGCCCAAGAGCCUCUCCAGCUGGGCCCUCUGGGAGGGCUGGGGGCCUGACAAGGCCCUGCAUGGGGAGGGGCAGGAGGCUCGCUCCAGGUCUCUUGGUGCUGGGCUCUGGGGACUGGGACAGAGUUGGGUCCCAACCUUAGCCUGGUGACUGAUCGGGGAGGGAGGUUACAGAUGCUGGGAACUCUGGCUUCUCUGACAGUGAGGAGGGCCAGCUGCACCUGCCCUGGCCUUCAGGAAUUAAAAGCCCCUCACAGCUCAGGACCAGCUCCAUGUGCUGCUGACCCCAGGGUUGUCUGCUUCCUAGGCUGGGACUCCCAGUGCUGCCAGUGGGGCCCAGGGCAGCCACCACAGCAGCCAGGGGUAAGCCCCUACCUGGAGAAGGACAGUGAGAUGCCUGAGUAUCCAGGGCCUCAGAAAGAGACAGGCUUCAUGCACCUGCCAGCCCUAAGACCUCUGUGGGUCCUGCCUGGAAAGUUGGGGCUUCAGCAGAGGUGGGGGGAGGGGCCAGAGCUGCCCAUCAGCUGGGAGGAGGGUACUUGGCCAACUGGAAGCACUAUGUGAGCACGGUGGGCACUGUGCCCCUUCCUCGGCAGCCCCUGGCACUUGUGGUCCCCACCUCAUAAACAUAUUUAGGCACCUCAUAACUCCUCUUCCUCCAUAACUCACUCCCCGCCGCCCAGCCGUAACUCCCAGUCUAUUUGCAGCCCCCUCAUUCAAGAUCAUCCACUGCAUCCUCACAGCCCCGGUGCCUCCUGAGUCCCUGACACCUGCUGCCCUGGCCAAGGGUGGCAGUCGUGUCUGGAUUCGUGCACCCCAUCUGUCAGCCACUCCGUUCCGAAAGGCUCUGAUUGGACUGGACUCUGUUCCAGAAAAGGCACGGGAGAGGGGCCAGGGCAACAAGGAGGGGAGAGCAGAUCUGCUGGGAGCCACAGUGGGAGGAGACGGCAAACUGGUCACGAGUUACGGAAACUGGGCUGACAAAGACAGGGCCGGAAAUAAACUUGCUGAGUGAC